GACGAACGCUGGCGGCGUGCUUAACACAUGCAAGUCGAACGGAAAGGCCCUGCUUUUGUGGGGUGCUCGAGUGGCGAACGGGUGAGUAACACGUGAGUAACCUGCCCUUGACUUUGGGAUAACUUCAGGAAACUGGGGCUAAUACCGGAUAGGAGCUCCUGCUGCAUGGUGGGGGUUGGAAAGUUUCGGCGGUUGGGGAUGGACUCGCGGCUUAUCAGCUUGUUGGUGGGGUAGUGGCUUACCAAGGCUUUGACGGGUAGCCGGCCUGAGAGGGUGACCGGCCACAUUAGGACUAAGAUACGGCGCAGAAUCCUACGGGAGGCAGCAGUGGGGAAUAUUGCACAAUGGGCGGAAGCCUGAUGCAGCAACGCCGCGUGCGGGAUGACGGCCUUCGGGUUGUAAACCGCUUUCGCCUGUGACGAAGCGUGAGUGACGGUAAUGGGUAAAGAAGCACCGGCUAACUACGUG
rnacentral:rRNA from 1 species